GGGGAUUUAGCUUAGUGGUAGAGCGCUUGCCCAGCAAGUGCAAGGCCCUGGGUUUAGUCCCCA
rnacentral:tRNA from 1 species